rnacentral:rRNA from 1 species
AACCUCCCACCCGUGUCUAUCGUACCUUGUUGCUUCGGCGGGCCCGCCGUUUCGACGGCCGCCGGGGAGGCCCUGCGCCCCCGGGCCCGCGCCCGCCGAAGACCCCAACAUGAACGCUGUUCUGAAAGUAUGCAGUCUGAGUUGAUUAUCGUAAUCAGUUAAAACUUUCAACAACGGAUCUCUUGGUUCCGGCAUCGAUGAAGAACGCAGCGAAAUGCGAUAAGUAAUGUGAAUUGCAGAAUUCAGUGAAUCAUCGAGUCUUUGAACGCACAUUGCGCCCCCUGGUAUUCCGGGGGGCAUGCCUGUCCGAGCGUCAUUGCUGCCCUCAAGCACGGCUUGUGUGUUGGGCCCCCGUCCCCCUCUCCCGGGGGACGGGCCCGAAAGGCAGCGGCGGCACCGCGUCCGGUCCUCGAGCGUAUGGGGCUUUGUCACCUGCUCUGUAGGCCCGGCCGGCGCCAGCCGACACCCAACUUUAUUUUUCUAAGGUUGACCUCGGAUCAGGUAGGGAUACCCGCUGAACUUAAGCAUAUCAAUAAGCGGAGGAA